UUCUAUUGAAAACAUAGACGAUUUGCGC
rnacentral:piRNA from 1 species